rnacentral:rRNA from 1 species
AUUGAACGCUGGCGGCAUGCCUUACACAUGCAAGUCGAACGGCAGCACGGGUGCUUGCCCCUGGUGGCGAGUGGCGAACGGGUGAGUAAUACAUCGGAACAUGUCCUGUAGUGGGGGAUAGCCCGGCGAAAGCCGGAUUAAUACCGCAUACGAUCUACGGAUGAAAGCGGGGGACCUUCGGGCCUCGCGCUAUAGGGUUGGCCGAUGGCUGAUUAGCUAGUUGGUGGGGUAAAGGCCUACCAAGGCGACGAUCAGUAGCUGGUCUGAGAGGACGACCAGCCACACUGGGACUGAGACACGGCCCAGACUCCUACGGGAGGCAGCAGUGGGGAAUUUUGAACAAUGGGCGAAAGCCUGAUCCAGCAAUGCCGCGUGUGUGAAGAAGGCCUUCGGGUUGUAAAGCACUUUUGUCCGGAAAGAAAUCCUUGGCCCUAAUACGGUCGGGGGAUGACGGUACCGGAAGAAUAAGCACCGGCUAACUACGUG